AAUAAUAAAUUUAUUAUAGUUUUAUGAUUUUAUUAUAAGUUUAUUUUACAUAUAAAUUUUAGUGUUAAAUUUAAUUUAUUUAAAUAAUAAAUUAUAUUUUAAGUAGUAAUUAAUAUUAAAUUAUUUAAGAAAUUAAGAUUUAGUAAUAUUUAAAUUAAUAACAAAUUUUGUGCCAGCAGUUGCGGUUAUACAAAAAUUAAAUUAAAUUUUAUUAGUAAUUAAUAAAUAAUAAUAAAUAUAAUAAAAAUUUUAAAUUAUUAGGUGAAAUUUUAAUUUAAUUAAAUUUUAUAUGUAUAAUUAUGAUUUAAUAAAUUUUAUUUAUAAACUAGGAUUAGAUACCCUAUUAUAAAAAUUUAAAAUUAAAAUACUAAAAUAGUAAAUAAUUAUUUAUUGAAACUUAAAUAAUUUGGCGGUAUUUUAGUUCAUUUAGAGGAAUCUGUUUAAUAAUUGAUAAUCCACGAAUAAAUUUACUUAAUUUAAAAUUUUGUAUAUCGUUGUUAAAAAAAUAUUUUUAAAUAAAAAUAAUAUUUAAAAAUUAAUAUAUAAAAUUAAAUCAGAUCAAGAUGCAGAUAAUAAUUAAGAAUAUAAUGGAUUACAAUAAAUUUAUUUAAAUGAAUAUUAAUUUGUAAUAAUUAAUUGAAGGUGGAUUUAAAUGUAAUUUUAUUUAAUUUAAUAAAAUGAUUAUUAAUUAAAAUAUGUACAUAUUGCCCGUCGCUUUCAUAUAUAAUUAAGUUGGAAUAAGUCGUAACAAAGUAGAGGUACUGGAAAGUGUUUCUAGAAAGAA
rnacentral:rRNA from 1 species